AAUGGUGUCCAGCAGGCUGAACUGUAACAGGAGGUAUGGAUGCCCUACACUUCGGCUUGAGGUCGGUGAUGUUAUUUAUCUCUUCUGUUUUAGCACCUUUGGAAGUGUGGAAGUCUUUAAUUUGGACCCAAAUAAGGUUCAUAAACUACAGGCCUGGGUAAUGCAUGACAUUAAAGGAACUUCCAGGUAUGUUACUUCUUGGUAGCAGAGUGAUAGUCUAUGAAUCAGUCUGCAGAAGGACCCCCAGGUCAUAGGAGCACACUGGGAACAGACUGGCUUAGCAAAUGGAUGGAGCUUACACACUUAGUGCUCCUUGUACUCUCUUAAUUCUGUCUCCACAAAGGACAGUGACUGCUUCAUACCUUUGCUCCUGCUGACCAGAGAAGCCCCAGAGGCGGUUGUCUGCCUCGCCUCUAC
rnacentral:lncRNA from 1 species